AGCUGCUACCUCCAGAGCUUUAUGCCAUUUCAGAGUAAAUAUUUACUCAACGCCUUCCAGUUUAUUAUACUUAAACAUCCCAACGGUCGCUGAAGACAUGUGACCUCUCAGAGUCAGGAAGAAACAUUUUACUUGGUGUCUGCAGCCAAAGCGAAGAAACUUUUCUUCUCAUUAAAGCCUCCAUCUCAUCUUAAAUCAUCCUAAAACAGAGCAUUUUUAGAUCGCCUUAAUUAUCUUUAUUAUCUUGGCUUGUGUUUAGAUGUAGAAUAGUGAUGCGGCUCAUAUUUUCUCCCGAACUCAGUGAAGGUUUUACAGGAAGGAGACAGACAGAAACGUGUUUACAGUUCAGCUUUCCUUUGUUUCCCUUCGGUCACCGCAAACAGCUGGAGAGCGGUGCCCAGCGUCGGAGCUGUUUAUCAGAGAUGGGCCGGCGUUGGGCCUCUGCCAGUCAGACAGCUCCGAACCAUCACACGGACACCCAGCUUCUUUGGUUUGAAAGCAAACAGGCCAGAAAUCAGACAAAACCCAGUCCAGUUCAACAGCAGGAGGCUCUUUACGCAUGAAGAGACACCAAGUAGACAACGCCAUGCUCUAAAACAGCGGCCUCCAACCGUUUGUGCCCCAAGGACUGGAAUCAAGCAAGACAGCUUUCUACAGACCUUUCACUGAUGACAAACAACAAAAGCACUCAGAGAGCGCAGUACUCCACCAAAGCUGCUCGGUCGUUGUAUCAUUUCCAACAGAUGAAAUCUUUAAUAUAAAAUGACCUUGCAUUGAGCACAGACGUGUGUUAUGCAUGUGUUCAUUAUGUACAGAUACCAAAUCGCGUAACCUAAAUAUAGAGCGGGCGGUGGGAAUUGAUGGGGCUCGGAAACACCUCCACAAUUUAAUCAAUUGUUCCUUGUAUGAUUUCCAAUGGAUAAGUCCUGAUCAGUUGCAGCGAUGGGUUUGUAGUAGGAUCACAAUCAUGUGAUCAUCAGCAGGCAGCUGAUGUAGUGUUCACUUGUUGUCAUGGUUACAGUGAUGCUGUGCCACUAUCUCAUAAGAUACAGAAAUAUUUAACAAAUCUGUGGAUCCAGACUAUAAACCGCAUCACUACCAAAGUCUAAUCACUUGGUCCUUGAGUCAUUUCUGACCAUCCCUAAAAAUUUCAUCCAAAUACAUCUGUCCGUUUUUGGGUAAUGUUGCUAACAGACAGACAGACAGACAAGCAUACACCGACUGUCACAUAACUCUCUAGGCGGAGUAAUAAUGAUGAGCGUUUUAUUUAUUUAUGUUUAGAAAAGUCUUAAGUGCGUGAAACAAGCACAGACGAAAGCAGUUUUUCAAAAUAAAAUACCCUGCAGAUUCUGCCCGAAAUAAAAUAUAAAAUCAACUGUUUGUUCUCUCUGUGUGGCCCAGUACCGGUCCACGGCCCAGUGGUUGGGGACCACUGCUCUAAAACGCUGAUGCAGGCUUCCAGGAUUUCUUCCUGCAUCAUUCUUCAGAAUCUGUUCUUGAUGUUGGCAUCGAGUAGUUUCACAGUGCUUGAACUGUUGGAAGGAAUAUUUCUGUGGAUAAAUCUGUAACUUCACUCCUCAGAGAUGCGUUUUUAAGAGGUUAAAUCAACAAUAUGAGAGGAACUUGAAAUGCUUUUUGAUCUGUGAAAGCUGCUCCCACGUCACGCUCUUUUUGCACCAGAUGUGAAAGCGAUCCGUCCCAAACUCUCCAGCCUUGGUGGCCAAGAAGGAAGCGAUGCUGUCUGCAGGUGAGAUGGAAUAACAUUUGGACUGGAAGCAAUAUAAAAACCCAGAUGGUUCAGUCCACGGCGGUAACAUUGGUGCGGGGGGAAGACGAGUCAAAUAUUUUCCACGUCAAGAAAGAAAUGACUCUCAGGAUUGACUUGACAGCGAUUUGGGUUUGAAGUUGACUCCAUCUCAGGUUUCUUUUUGCAGUCCUGCUCUCUUUCUGGCAGACAACCUCUGGACAACACAACAAGCUUUUCUCCAGAUGUCUGCGUGUGCGUGUCUCCACUGAUACCACAGCUGUCCACCCAGCCCUGCAGCUCAUCUGUGCGCCUCGGUGAGUCGGUCGGCCGGUCAUGUGGUGAGAAAACACAAUGGCGAUCUGCAGUGGGAGUUAAAAGUUCAGGCUGAGCAUUCCACGAGAUAUUAUGUAUCACAGCUAAGGGACUCUCCAGGUACUGGAGCCAAGAAAAAGUGCGUGUUUGUCCGAAAUAA